rnacentral:rRNA from 1 species
GUUCUGUAAGCCUGUGAAGGUGUACUGUGAGGUAUGCUGGAGGUAUCAGAAGUGCGAAUGCUGACAUAAGUAACGAUAAAGCGGGUGAAAAGCCCGCUCGCCGGAAGACCAAGGGUUCCUGUCCAACGUUAAUCGGGGCAGGGUGAGUCGACCCCUAAGGCGAGGCCGAAAGGCGUAGUCGAUGGGAAACAGGUUAAUAUUCCUGUACUUGGUGUUACUGCGAAGGGGGGACGGAGAAGGCUAUGUUGGCCGGGCGACGGUUGUCCCGGUUUAAGCGUGUAGGCUGGUUUUCCAGGCAAAUCCGGAAAAUCAAGGCUGAGGCGUGAUGACGAGGCACUACGGUGCUGAAGCAACAAAUGCCCUGCUUCCAGGAAAAGCCUCUAAGCAUCAGGUAACAUCAAAUCGUACCCCAAACCGACACAGGUGGUCAGGUAGAGAAUACCAAGGCGCUUGAGAGAACUCGGGUGAAGGAACUAGGCAAAAUGGUGCCGUAACUUCGGGAGAAGGCACGCUGAUAUGUAGGUGAAGUCCCUCGCGGAUGGAGCUGAAAUCAGUCGAAGAUACCAGCUGGCUGCAACUGUUUAUUAAAAACACAGCACUGUGCAAACACGAAAGUGGACGUAUACGGUGUGACGCCUGCCCGGUGC